rnacentral:rRNA from 1 species
CCUACGGGAGGCAGCAGUGAGGAAUAUUGCGCAAUGGGGGAAACCCUGACGCAGCAACGCCGCGUGGGUGAUGAAGGCCUUCGGGUCGUAAAACCCUUUUCUGGGGGAAGAGAAAGGACGGUACCUCAGGAAUAAGUCCCGGCUAACUACGUGCCAGCAGCCGCGGUAAAACGUAGGGGGCGAGCGUUAUCCGGAUUUACUGGGCGUAAAGCGCGUGCAGGCGGCUUGGUAGGUUGGACGUGAAAGCUCUUGGCUCAACUGAGAGAGGUCGUUCAAUACCGCCAAGCUUGAGGUCGGAAGAGGGGAGCGGAAUUCCCGGUGUAGUGGUGGAAUGCGUAGAUAUCGGGAGGAACACCCGUGGCGAAGGCGGCUCCCUGGUCCGCACCUGACGCUGAGACGCGAAAGCGUGGGGAGCAAACGGGAUUAGAUACCCCGGUAGUCCACGCCGUAAACGAUGGAUGCUAGGUGUAGGUGGUAUUGACCCCAUCUGUGCCGUAGCUAACGCGUUAAGCAUCCCGCCUGGGGACUACGGCCGCAAGGUUAAAACUCAAAUGAAUUGACGG